UACGUAGGGCGCAAGCGUUGUCCGGAAUUAUUGGGCGUAAAGAGCUCGUAGGUGGUGUGUCGCGUCUGCCGUGAAAGCCCGGGGCUUAACUCCGGGUCUGCGGUGGAUACGGGCAGACUAGAGGCAGGUAGGGGAGAACGGAAUUCCCGGUGUAGCGGUGAAAUGCGCAGAUAUCGGGAGGAACACCGGUGGCGAAGGCGGCACUCUGGGACGGUACUGACGCUGAGACGCGAAAGCGUGGGGAGCGAACAGG
rnacentral:rRNA from 1 species